rnacentral:rRNA from 1 species
UAGCAAUACUAGGUUGAGCCAGUGGCGAACGGGUGCGUAACACGUGAGUCAUCUGCCUGAAAGUGGGGGAUAGCUCGCCGAAAGGCGAAUUAAUACCGCAUGUGCCCCGAAGCAAUUCGGGGUAAAGCCGGGGCAACCUGGCGCUUUUAGAUGAGCUCGCGGCCUAUCAGCUUGUUGGUAAGGUAACGGCUUACCAAGGCUUCGACGGGUAGCUGGUCUGAGAGGACGACCAGCCACACUGGAACUGAGACACGGUCCAGACACCUACGGGUGGCAGCAGUCGAGAAUUUUUCUCAAUGGGGGAAACCCUGAAGGAGCGACGCCGCGUGGAGGAUGAAGGCUUUCGGGUUGUAAACUCCUGUCAUUUGGGAACAAUACCUUACGUUAACUGCGUGGAGGUUUGAUAGUACCAGAAGAGGAAGAGACGGCUAACUCUGUGCCAGCAGCCGCGGUAAUACAGAGGUCUCGAGCGUUGUUCGGAUUCAUUGGGCGUAAAGGGCGCGUAGGCUGCGGGGCAAGUCGGGUGUGAAAUCCCAGAGCUCAACUCUGAAACUGCACUCGAUACUGCUUUGCUAGAGGACUGGAGAGGAGAUUGGAAUUCACGGUGUAGCA